rnacentral:rRNA from 1 species
GGACCCGCACAAGUAGUGGAGCAUGUGGUUUAAUUCGAAGCAACGCGCAGAACCUUACCAGUCCUUGACAUGGGGAGUUUGGUUUCCGGAGACGGAUUCCUUCAGUUCGGCUGGCUCCCACACAGGUGCUGCAUGGCUGUCGUCAGCUCGUGUCGUGAGAUGUUGGGUUAAGUCCCGCAACGAGCGCAACCCUCAUCUUUAGUUGCCAUCAGUUAGGCUGGGCACUCUAGAGAAACUGCCUGCGAUGAGCAGGAGGAAGGCGGGGAUGACGUCAAGUCCUCAUGGCCCUUAUGGACUGGGCUACACACGUGCUACAAUGGCGGCGACAGUGGGAAGCGAUAGGGCGACCUGGAGCAAAUCCCCAAAAGCCGUCCCAGUUCGGAUUGUACUCUGCAACUCGAGUGCAUG